GACGAACGCUGGCGGCGUGCUUAACACAUGCAAGUCGAACGGAAAGGCCGUGCUUUUGUUGGGUGCUCGAGUGGCGAACGGGUGAGUAACACGUGAGUAACCUGCCCUUGACUUUGGGAUAACUUCAGGAAACUGGGGCUACUACCGGAUAGGAGCUCCUGCUGCAUGGUGGGGGUUGGAACGUUUCGGCGGGUGGGGAUGGACUCGCGGCUUAUGAGCUUGUUGGUGGGGGAGUGGCUUACCAAGGGUUUGACGGAUAGGCGGCCUGAGAGGGUGGACGGGGACAUGGGGACUGCGAUACGGACCAGACUCCUAUGGGAGGCAGCAGGGGGGAAUAUGGCACAAUGGGCGGAAGCCUGAUGCAGCAACGCCGCGUGCGGGAUGACGGCCUUCGGGGUGUAAACCGCUUUCGCCUGUGACGAAGCGUGAGUGACGGUAAUGGGUAAAGAAGCACCGGCUAACUACGUG
rnacentral:rRNA from 1 species